GACAGAGGGUGCAAACGUUGUUCGGAAUUACUGGGCGUAAAGCGCGUGUAGGCGGCUUUGCAAGUCGGGCGUGAAAUCCCAUGGCUCAACCAUGGAAGUGCACUCGAAACUGCAGAGCUAGAGUCCUGGAGAGGAAGGUGGAAUGCUUGGUGUAGAGGUGAAAUUCGUAGAGAUCGGGAGGAACACCUGUGGCGAAGGCGGCCGACUGGGCCGACCCUGACGCUGAGGCGCGAAGGCGUGGGGAGCGAACGGG
rnacentral:rRNA from 1 species